AAAAAACCUGUUAACAACGCGCCGCCUUCCAGAUCGAUCCAUCGAUAGAUUCCCCUCCCAAUUAAGUUUGUCCAUCCUGAAGCUGGAGCUUAAGAGUUGCAGAUAUAGCCCCCAAACCACAAAAAAGCCUAUUUAACAGCACAGUCUGUGCAUGUUUACUCGGAAGUAGGCCCUAUUGCGGCUCUGUGUGCUCUCAGAUUCUCACCCCUGGUGGAAGCUUUGGGGCUGCAACCCUACAUCUACUUUCCUGGGUGUAAACCCUAUUGAAAUCACAUUUUCCC